GCGGGCCGCAGCUUUAGUCCUGGUUGUGGAGUGAGAUGCUGAGAUGGGUCUGGAGGGAUGCAGGAUGUUCUAGUCCCAGUUAGGAUGGUAAAUAGGGACCUCGCUCCGCGAGGGAUGCUGAACGGGGUCUGGAAGAAUGCAAGAUGUCCUGGUCCGGGCCAGGAAUGGUUACAUGGAUAGUGGGAUGUCAGAAGGGGAAUUGUAGUGAAUCACCCUUCUAUCCAAUCAACUGACAACACAGCAAUGAUCCCACAUCAUCCCAGCCCGAGAAAAACUCAGGGUUGGUGCCGGUGCUGAGCAGCUACUGGCCAGGAGCUGGGUGUCAGAUCCCUGGGAGGAUAUGAGAGAAUGUUUCCAGAAAGACCGAACUAAAAAGGAACGUCCAACCCUGAACGUGGAGGACAUCCUCCUCUGGGCUGGGCUCCCAGACUGAGUAAUAAGAAAAUAAGUUGAGCUCGCUCCCCCCCACCCCCACUGUAGAUACAGUGUGACCAAUUACCAG
ensembl:processed_transcript